rnacentral:rRNA from 1 species
AACGAACGUUAGCGGCGCGCCUAACACAUGCAAGUCGAACGCGACAGGGGCAACUCUGUUGAGUGGCGCACGGGUGAGUAACACGUAGGUAAUCUCCCCCCGAGUGGUGGAUAACCUUCCGAAAGGAGGGCUAAUACAGCAUAAGACCACGGCUUCGAAAGGAGCUGAGGUCAAAGCGGAGGAUCGCAAGACUUCGCGCUUGGGGAUGAGCCUGCGGCCCAUCAGGUAGUUGGCGGGGUAACAGCCCACCAAGCCGAAGACGGGUAGCUGGUCUGAGAGGAGUAGCAGCCAGACUGGAACUGAGACACGGUCCAGACUCCUACGGGAGGCAGCAGUGGGGGAUCUUGCGCAAUGGACGAAAGUCUGAUGCAGCGACGCCGCGUGGGUGAUGAAGGCCUUCGGGUUGUAAAGCCCUGUGGGGAGGGACGAAUAAGUUUCAGCUAAUACCUGAAGCGAUGACGGUACCUCCUUAGCAAGCACCGGCUAACUCUGUGCCAGCAGCCGCGGUAA